UACGUAGGGUGCAAGCGUUAAUCGGAAUUACUGGGCGUAAAGCGUGCGCAGGCGGUUUUGUAAGUCUGUCGUGAAAUCCCCGGGCUCAACCUGGGAAUUGCGAUGGAGACUGCAUGGCUAGAGUUUGGCAGAGGGGGGUAGAAUUCCACGUGUAGCAGUGAAAUGCGUAGAUAUGUGGAGGAACACCGAUGGCGAAGGCAGCCCCCUGGGUCAAGACUGACGCUCAUGCACGAAAGCGUGGGGAGCAAACAGG
rnacentral:rRNA from 1 species